AGAUCUGCGAAAUAGCAGAUUUUCAGUGAGCUGUACCGGUACACUUUGACAGGCAUGGUGCUGUUUGACUUUUUCCUCUCUAGUCUUGUCACCACUUUUCCCCUUACCUUAAGAGCAGGGAGGAGAGAGGGGGGAGGGCUUCUUCCUCCUCUGCUGUGCUUCUUCCUCUUCCCCCUUGGCUGAGUAGAGGUGGUGGAGGAGCUCAAGGGAGAAGCUCAAGCUUCGUCGACGACGCACCGCGGAGCGGAUCGAGGGUGCUUUCAACAUUGUGACGCUGCGAGGAGGCCGGGCGACUGCUGUCCCUUACCAUCCUCGACGUGGUGCUGCUCCCAGGGCGGUUGUCGAGGAGCGUCGGAUCGCGGUGAUUCUUGCGUCAUUGGAUCCGGGACUUCGAGACGAAUCCAGAGGAUCCUUACUCGUCUGAUUUGGAGAAGGAGCGUCGGAAUUCAGCGAAACUUGAUUUACUGGAUUCGCGGCUUCGAGACGAAGAUUCUGAGCCCAAGAUUGGAAUUUUUAGAUGAGAUCCCAGCGUCGGCCUUCGGUACUUCGGCUCGUGCGCGACGUAGGAGCGACGGAUCGCGACGAAAUCGGGUUCGCUGGAUUCUAGACUGCGAGAAGAAUCCACAGAGUCCAAGAUUGCUGGAUUUGGAAAGCAGGUGGAUUCGGUUUUGAGCGGGACGCGUUGGGUUUUCGCGGACUCGGCCACUCUCUUCGUUGCCAGGAGAUUAGCGAUCGAGGACCUUCGGUCUCGGCUGCUGCUCCUUCUGAGGCGGAUCGCGGCAAGGGCGUCGCGAGCUAGAGCCCUUCCCGACUGGUGCUGAGUUGGCAGUUUUCCCCUACUGCAGGUAGUGUGCUCGUGUUUUGGGAGCUAUGUACAUAUUUGUGAACUCGUUGGAGCGAGUGCUUUUGUAUAGAGAUUUUUGUAUGUAUAUAGACUCGUUCUUUCUCUACC